GGGGAUUUAGCUCAAUGGUAGAGCGCUUGCCUAGCAAGCGCAAGGUCCUGGGUUCAAUCCCCAGCUCCG
rnacentral:tRNA from 1 species